rnacentral:rRNA from 1 species
UUUUUAUGUCGGUCACUUGGACUGAGAACAAUUUAAACCCAUUAACGAGGACCAAUUGGAGGGCAAGUCUGGUGCCAGCAGCCGCGGUAAUUCCAGCUCCAAUAGCGUACAUUAAAGUUGUUGCAGUUAAAAAGCUCGUAGUUGGAUUUCUGGUGUCGUGUUGUAUCCGUACGAUUAAGUUCGUCUCGAGUUACAUUCACGUCGCCAUCUUUUAACAGAGCUUGCCUGGCAUUAGGUUGUUGGGCAAGUUAUGUUGAUCGUUUACUGUGAAGAAAUUAGAGUGUUCAAAGCAGGCUUAUGCCGUUGAAUACGUUAGCAUGGAAUAAUGAGAUAGGACCUUGAUACUAUUUUGUUGGUUUGCGCAUUAAGGUAAUGAUUAAUAGGGUCAGUUGGGGGUAUUCGUAUUUCGUUGUCAGGGGUGAAAUUCUUGGAUUUACGAAAGACGANCGACUGCGAAAGCAUUUACCAAGGAUGUUUUCAUUAAUCAAGANCGAANGUUA